UGGGGAAUCUUGGACAAUGGGGGCAACCCUGAUCCAGCCAUGCCGCGUGAGUGAUGAAGGCCUUAGGGUCGUAAAGCUCUUUCGCCUGUGAAGAUAAUGACGGUAGCAGGUAAAGAAACCCCGGCUAACUCCGUGCCAGCAGCCGCGGUAAUACGGAGGGGGUUAGCGUUGUUCGGAAUUACUGGGCGUAAAGCGCACGUAGGCGGACCAGAAAGUUGGGGGUGAAAUCCCGGGGGCUCAACCCCGGAACUGCCUCCAAAACUAUUGGUCUAGAGUUCGAGAGAGGUGAGUGGAAUUCCAAGUGUAGAGGUGAAAUUCGUAGAUAUUUGGAGGAACACCAGUGGCGAAGGCGGCUCACUGGCUCGAUACUGACGCUGAGGUGCGAAAGUGUGGGGAGCAAACAGGAUUAGAUACCCUGGUAGUCCACACCGUAAAACGAUGAAUGCCAGUCGUCGGGUAGCAUGCUAUUCGGUGACACACCUAACGGAUUAAGCAUUCCGCCUGGGGAGUACGGUCGCAAGAUUAAAACCUCAAAUGAAUU
rnacentral:rRNA from 1 species